CACGUAGGGAGCAAGCGUUGUCCGGAUUUAUUGGGCGUAAAGAGCUCGUAGGCUGUUCGAUAAGUCGGGUGUGAAACCUCCAGGCUCAACCUGGAGACGCCACCCGAUACUGUCAUGACUAGAGUUCGGUAGGGGAGACUGGAAUUCCUGGUGUAGCGGUGAAAUGCGCAGAUAUCAGGAGGAACACCGGUGGCGAAGGCGGGUCUCUGGGCCGAUACUGACGCUGAGGAGCGAAAGCGUGGGGAGCGAACAGG
rnacentral:rRNA from 1 species